CACAACAAAUGACCACAGCAGUGCAUCACCUGUGAGAUCAUGAGAAGGCUGAAGAACCAAGAGUGACAAGAUAUCACCGGAUGGUGGGGUACAGAAUUAAACCCAGGGAAAGAUCAAGCAUUGGAACAAGGUUUACGGGGGAGAACAGACACCCAACAGAGAGACAAGUCCAUCACUAAUGCACCAAGGAUCCAGCUGAUUACUGGCAAUUUGAGGAGGAUUGUUCUUUAUUUGCUAUGUUGGACUGUCACUUCUGGUACAGAUUCAUUGAUUUUUUUGUGUUAUGUUUUGAUUUGACUUAUUAAUACACUGUAUAGUUAGGAUUCUGAAUUAAAAGACAGUGUAUUGUUUGUCCACAUAUAUUAAAACUAUAUGGAGCCCCCAGGGGUCAGGAAAAUUUUGUGGAAAACAACAUAAAACUGAAUUGGAAAAUAAAAGCUAAAAAAAACAACAGACCACAACCCCCUCAGCUCAACAGCACAAUUUGUUUCUUUCUCCACCCGUUUCAAAGGUGAAAUUAUGACCUCAUCAUGAUUGUAACCCUAAUAGACAAGAUAGACACAAAGAAAUGACAUUUUUAGUUUUUCAAUUCCUCCUGGGGGGCUCAGAAGAACGGUUUGUGAGUA